rnacentral:rRNA from 1 species
AUAAGAUUUAACCUGCCCGCUGAUGAAUUGAAUGGCCGCGGUAUUUUGACCGUGCAAAGGUAGCAUAAUAAUUAGUUUUUUGAUUGAAAGCUGGAAUGAAUGGUUGGACGAGAAAAUUACUGUCUCUGGUUAAGUUAAAAUAAAAUUUUAUUUUUAAGUUAAAAAGCUUAAAUAAAAUUAAAAGACGAGAAGACCCUAUAGAGUUUUAUAUUUAAUUAAUAAUAUUAUUUAGGAAUUUAAGUUUUAUUUUUAUGAUAAUAUUUUAUUGGGGUGAUAAAAAGAUUUAUUAAACUCUUUUUUUAUUUAUACAUAUAUAUAUGAUUAUUUGAUCCAAUUUUUUUGAUUAUAAGAUUAAAUUACCUUAGGGAUAACAGCGUAAUCUUUUUAGAGAGUUCUUAUCGAAAAAGGGGAUUGCGACCUCGAUGUUGGAUUAAAGUUAAUUCUUGGUGAAGAAGCUAAGAAAUUGAGUCUGUUCGACUUUUAAAACUUUACAUGAUCUGAGUUUAAACCGGUGUGAGCCAGGUUGGUUUCUAUCUUUAUUUAGUUAAAAUAUUUUAGUACGAAAGGACCAA